UCUUUGAUGGUCUAACGGUCAUGAUUUCCGCUUGUCAAGCAAUUGUCAAAGCGCGGGAGAUCGGGGUUCGACUCCCCGUCAGAGAG
rfam:Glarea lozoyensis ATCC 20868 chromosome Tnknown GLAREA2, whole genome shotgun sequence.